UCGUCCAAUCAGAGCCUCGUAAACGCCGUGCAGCAGCGUCGAGUGUCCCGCAGACAGGAAGCGGGUCGUGUUUAGCUUGUCCCGUACGAGUGACUCUGUUCUCGGGGUAAAUAACUUGCUGAAGUCGACACGACGCUGUUCCCUGGAGGAGAAGAUGAGUGCAUGUGGAGGCAGAGCCGCGGGCCCGGUGUGGACGAGUCGAGGCGGAGAAGACGGAAGCACAGUCCCUGAGUUACGCCUCAGCCCCCCCACACACACACAAACAAAGAGGCGUUAGGCUGAGACGCUGAAAGUCCGGAUUUAAAGUGCAGAAAAUUAAGCCAUUGAAUCUGCCUGUCCAUGACGUACAAAGACACACUAUGAGCCAGUAUGAUCCGACCAGACCUUACAUCAGCAUUGAGGAGUUGUCGGAGAAGAAAGAGGCUGAUUGAAGCGGGACAGAUGACAUGGAUCCAUCCUUCCACAGCCAGGAGCGCACCGACCUGUGUCCCACACUUCAUAUAAGACUGGAAGCUACACUGAUCUCAUAGCUACACACCACAGACGUC